rnacentral:rRNA from 1 species
UACGUAGGGGGCGAGCGUUGUCCGGAGUUACUGGGCGUAAAGGGCGCGUAGGCGGCGGGCCAAGUCGAGUGUGAAAGCCCCGGGCUCAACCUGGGAGGUGCGCUCGAGACUGGUUUGCUGGAGUUCGGGAGAGGAGCGUGGAAUUCCCAGUGUAGAGGUGAAAUUCGUAGAUAUUGGGAAGAACACCGGUGGCGAAGGCGGCGCUCUGGACCGAGACUGACGCUGAGGCGCGAAGGCGUGGGGAGCAAACAGG